GUGCUCUUUUCGGCAGCACAUAUACUAAAAUUGGAACAAUUCAGAGAUUAGCAUGGCCUCCGUGCAAGGAUGACAUGCAAGUUUGUGAAGUGUUCCAUAUUAAA